rfam:Eubacterium sp. CAG:192 genomic scaffold, scf309
GCAGCUAUGGCGGAAUUGGCAUACGCGCAUGAUUCAGGUUCAUGUCCAUAUUAUCUUGGGUGUGGGUUCAAGUCCCACUAGCUGCA